AGAGGAUGUAUUUCUGUUAUCUAUUCUGCAGGGGGGUGCCCAGUGUAUCUGUUAAUCUGUGAGAUGAAAGUGGGAGAAAAUGUAAAAUGAGUGAAUGCUGAAAAGAAUUCCCAGCCUUUGCUAGACGAAUAGAAAAGUCGUGAAUCUGUAAAGACAGGUCUUCAGGGUGCCAAGUGCAUGAAGGCCAAGUACCGGGGCUACCUAUAGGUGUGUUGGCAACUGUGAGCCUGCAGGCUUAGCACGCGUGGACGCGACGCUCGCAAGGACAGCUCUCGAGGAGUGCAAGCCAAGGAGACCAGAGGGCACAGAAGCCAAUCCAAUACCUCGCCCUCUAGGCCCCGC
rnacentral:lncRNA from 1 species